UGAAGACUGCAGAUUGAUA
rnacentral:piRNA from 1 species